GAUGAACGCUAGCUACAGGCUUAACACCAUCAAGUCGAGGGACCGGCGCACGGGUGUGUAACUCGUAUUCAACCUGCUCUUUACUCGAGGAUAGCCUUUCGAAAGAAAGAUUAAUACUCUAUAUAUAGGUUUGGGAUGCGUUUCCUUAGGUGGGUGGUGAGGUAACGGUCAACCAAGCCUUCGAUGGAUGGGGGUUCAGAGAGGAAGUUGCCUCACAUUGGAACUGAGGCGCGAUCCAAACUCGUACGUGAGGCAGCAGUGAGGAAUAUUGGUCAAUGGGAUUUAGCAUGAACCAGCCAAGUAGCGUGAAGGUUGAAGGAUUAAAGGUCGUAAACUUCUUUUAUAGAAGAAUAUGUAUUAUAUGGAUAAGGAUCGGCUAACUCCGUGCCAGCAGCCGCGGUAAUUC
rnacentral:rRNA from 1 species